GGUUAAGCGACUAAGCGUACACGGUGGAUGCCCUGGCAGUCAGAGGCGAUGAAGGACGCCGGCGAUGUCCGAAUGGGGAAACCCAGUGCAAUUCGUUGCACUAUCGUUAACUGAAUACAUAGGUUAACGAGGCGAACCGGGGGAACUGAAACAUCUAAGUACCCCGAGGAAAAGAAAUCAACCGAGAUUCCCCCAGUAGCGGCGAGCGAACGGGGAGCAGCCCAGAGUCUGAAUCAGCUUGUGUGUUAGUGGAACGGUCUGGAAAGUCCGACGGUACAGGGUGAUAGUCCCGUACACCAAAAUGCACAGGUUGUGAACUCGAAGAGUAGGGCGGGACACGUGGUAUCCUGUCUGAAUAUGGGGGGACCAUCCUCCAAGGCUAAAUACUCCUGACUGACCGAUAGUGAACCAGUACCGUGAGGGAAAGGCGAAAAGAACCCCGGCGAGGGGAGUGAAAAAGAACCUGAAACCGUGUACGUACAAGCAGUGGGAGCACCUUCGGGUGUGACUGCGUACCUUUUGUAUAAUGGGUCAGCGACUUAUAUUCUGUAGCAAGGUUAACCGUAUAGGGGAGCCGCAGGGAAACCGAGUCUUAACUGGGCGUUAAGUUGCAGGGUAUAGACCCGAAACCCGGUGAUCUAGCCAUGGGCAGGUUGAAGGUUGGGUAACACUAACUGGAGGACCGAACCGACUAAUGUUGAAAAAUUAGCGGAUGACUUGUGGCUGGGGGUGAAAGGCCAAUCAAACCGGGAGAUAGCUGGUUCUCCCCGAAAGCUAUUUAGGUAGCGCCUCGUGAAUUCAUCUUCGGGGGUAGAGCACUGUUUCGGCUAGGGGGUCAUCCCGACUUACCAACCCGAUGCAAACUACGAAUACCGAAGAAUGUUAUCACGGGAGACACACGGCGGGUGCUAACGUCCGUCGUGAAGAGGGAAACAACCCAGACCGCCAGCUAAGGUCCCAAAGUCAUGGUUAAGUGGGAAACGAUGUGGGAAGGCACAGACAGCCAGGAUGUUGGCUUAGAAGCAGCCAUCAUUUAAAGAAAGCGUAAUAGCUCACUGGUCGAGUCGGCCUGCGCGGAAGAUGUAACGGGGCUAAACCAUGCACCGAAGCUGCGGCAGCGACACUAUGUGUUGUUGGGUAGGGGAGCGUUCUGUAAGCCUGCGAAGGUGACCUGUGAGGGUUGCUGGAGGUAUCAGAAGUGCGAAUGCUGACAUAAGUAACGAUAAAGCGGGUGAAAAGCCCGCUCGCCGGAAGACCAAGGGUUCCUGUCCAACGUUAAUCGGGGCAGGGUGAGUCGACCCCUAAGGCGAGGCCGAAAGGCGUAGUCGAUGGGAAACAGGUUAAUAUUCCUGUACUUGGUGUUACUGCGAAGGGGGGACGGAGAAGGCUAUGUUAGCCGGGCGACGGUUGUCCCGGUUUAAGCAUGUAGGCUGGUUAUCCAGGCAAAUCCGGAUAAUCAAGGCUGAGGUGUGAUGACGAGGCACUACGGUGCUGAAGUAACAAAUGCCCUGCUUCCAGGAAAAGCCUCUAAGCAUCAGGUAACAUCAAAUCGUACCCCAAACCGACACAGGUGGUCAGGUAGAGAAUACCAAGGCGCUUGAGAGAACUCGGGUGAAGGAACUAGGCAAAAUGGUGCCGUAACUUCGGGAGAAGGCACGCUGGUGUGUAGGUGAAGCCCCUGCGGGUGGAGCUGAGACCAGUCGAAGAUACCAGCUGGCUGCAACUGUUUAUUAAAAACACAGCACUGUGCAAACACGAAAGUGGACGUAUACGGUGUGACGCCUGCCCGGUGCCGGAAGGUUAAUUGAUGGGGUUAUCCGUAAGGAGAAGCUCUUGAUCGAAGCCCCGGUAAACGGCGGCCGUAACUAUAACGGUCCUAAGGUAGCGAAAUUCCUUGUCGGGUAAGUUCCGACCUGCACGAAUGGCGUAAUGAUGGCCAGGCUGUCUCCACCCGAGACUCAGUGAAAUUGAACUCGCUGUGAAGAUGCAGUGUACCCGCGGCAAGACGGAAAGACCCCGUGAACCUUUACUAUAGCUUGACACUGAACAUUGAGCCUUGAUGUGUAGGAUAGGUGGGAGGCUUUGAAGCGUGGACGCCAGUCUGCGUGGAGCCAACCUUGAAAUACCACCCUUUAAUGUUUGAUGUUCUAACGUUGGCCCCUGACCGGGGUUGCGGACAGUGUCUGGUGGGUAGUUUGACUGGGGCGGUCUCCUCCCAAAGCGUAACGGAGGAGCACGAAGGUUAGCUAAUCCUGGUCGGACAUCAGGAGGUUAGUGCAAUGGCAUAAGCUAGCUUGACUGCGAGCGUGACGGCGCGAGCAGGUGCGAAAGCAGGUCAUAGUGAUCCGGUGGUUCUGAAUGGAAGGGCCAUCGCUCAACGGAUAAAAGGUACUCCGGGGAUAACAGGCUGAUACCGCCCAAGAGUUCAUAUCGACGGCGGUGUUUGGCACCUCGAUGUCGGCUCAUCACAUCCUGGGGCUGAAGUAGGUCCCAAGGGUAUGGCUGUUCGCCAUUUAAAGUGGUACGCGAGCUGGGUUUAGAACGUCGUGAGACAGUUCGGUCCCUAUCUGCCGUGGGCGCUGGAGAAUUGAGGGGGGCUGCUCCUAGUACGAGAGGACCGGAGUGGACGCAUCACUGGUGUUCGGGUUGUCAUGCCAAUGGCACUGCCCGGUAGCUAAAUGCGGAAGAGAUAAGUGCUGAAAGCAUCUAAGCACGAAACUUGCCCCGAGAUGAGUUCUCCCUGAGACUUUAAGUCUCCUGAAGGAACGUU
rnacentral:rRNA from 1 species